AAAAUUAAGAUAUAAGCUGCUAUAUGCAUUUAUCAGUAUGUUUUAAUAAAAUAAAAUGUAUUUUAGCAAUGCAUAAUCAAGAAGGAAGAGAUUAAUGAACCCUACCCUCUUACAAUGAACAAAACAUGGACACUCUCGGGAUGAUCCUUUUGCUUUCAUUAAGAGUUUCAAGAUGUGGGUCUGAUUGACUGGGGUGUGAAAUGUAACAGCCAAUGGUGUACUUAAGCUAAGACUGUCAGUCCCAAUAUUCAAGAGGAAAAACCCCUACAUAAACAAAUACAUGGGCGCAGACAUUUUGGAC